rnacentral:Y_RNA from 1 species
GUCCGGUCUGAGUACGAUGGUGUUUACAACUAAAGGAUCACAACCACUUACAGAUUUCUUUGUUCCUUCUUUACUCCCACUGCUUCACUUGACCAGCCUUAA